ensembl:lncRNA
UUUUUUUUUUUUUUUUAAUUAGGGAGACUAAGCUCAAGAGAUGAGUACAUUAAAGCAGCAUCCUUGAAUUUUUACUCCAGUUUACAGUUUCAUACAUUCUGUCUCUUUCAGACACCUCAUUGGUUCACUUGGGACACUCAGCAGCUCUGCUUUUUGUUUAUUUGUUUGUUUUCUAUGAACUCUUAAGAAAUAAACUCAAUGCUUUGUUGUUUCUGCUUUUCUAGUCUUUUCAGCUUGUGCCAGUGGCAGUUCUGAAAUCAAGCCAAAAUUAGGAUGUAGAGUCCCAGUAGCUCAGAAAGCUUGGGAAUUACCUUGUAACACUUGUGGAGUAUUGACUGUUCUUUGAGAGAGGAGUUGCUGUUCUUUGGGGAGGCAUGGAUGCCUGUAUGAGGCAAGGCUGUCCUUAGUUUGAAUGCUUCAGUCAAUAAAUGGGAUAUUAGAUAGAAUAGAAUAGAAAUUGUCUGCCCCUGCAUUGCUGCUUGUUCUUUACUGUCUGAUUAAACUAAUGCAAUUCAUGGAAUAAUCUCAAUAACAAAGUCACAAAAUGUGUAGAAAUUACAAAGACUGUCAGUCACUGUUUGAAGCAUGAAGUUUUUUCCUUGGUUCUAUUCUUCUGAGAAUAAAAAACAUGUCUCAUUUUCCAUGACUUUUAGUGAAAUUUGAUGGGCAGAACUGUCUUUUCAGAAUAUUGUAUUCCUGAAGAUAAUAGUCUGGAAUGGUAAAAUAUGAAGGAGGUUCUAGAUAUUUUUGUGUGCUUUUCAUCAUAUCCAGAAGCUGUAGAAAUAACUAAUUUUAGAAUCCUCUUGGCUAGUUACUACUAACUACAUCAUUAAAAGAACAUGGUAGAACACAUUGCAGUUCUGAGAUGAAAAGUAUAUUCUCCUGCUAUGGUCAGAUGAAAGUAAGCAAUGAAUUUCAGUGCAAACACUUUCUCUGUGCCUGAAAAGAAUGUGUUUGAAAAGAAUUCCCCAUAUAAAUGCAACUGCAAGUCGUUUUGAUGGUUGAAAAACCAAACCAAAAAAGAAAAGGCAAAGUUUGUGAUUCAAGAUGGCUGGAAAUCAAAACUGGUAUGGCUGGCAUUAGUGAAAAACAAUCCUUUGUCUAGAAACCCAACUCAUGUGUAGGCCCUGUGUUUGUGUGAUAUCUUGCUGCCAUGUUCACUUGCCCAGUUCCAUGUUCUGUGCUCUAGAACAUGCAGCACCAUCACAACCCAAAGUCUGCAUUUGUGGCUGCAGGGCACAUCUUGUGUCUCAGGGUGGUCUGAGGAUGGAGCUUUGAAGGCCAAAGGACAUUGAUGAUGCAGUUCACUGUGGGCACUAAGGAAGCUUCUUUGGAAAAGCAGGAUGUUUGUGUGUCUCUGGUUCAAAUAAAGUUCCUGUUCAGGAAAGUACGUUAUUGGAAACAAGGAAACUUCCUUCUGAAAUGGCAUUGUGUUUGAAAUUGCAUUCUGUGUCUGAGCAAACUCAUCCAUUAUAACCUUCAAGUAAUUUAAAAAGUCUUACUUCUGAUAUCCCACUUAAAAGGACAAUUGAUUUUUUUCCUUCUUAGCUCCCUUUGUACAGUUAUUUGAAGCCUCCUGCAGAAAAUGUUAAUUUAAAGUAUGUAUAUUUUUAUGACAUGAGUUCCUUAGCAAUUUAUGCAAGCCUUUGAAACAAAGGCUACUAUGAAAAGAAAUCUGAAUGAAAGAAUUUGCAUAGCAAUAGCAGCCCAAUGUUGGUAUAUAUGCUGAAACAAAUUAAAAUCUGCAGGGGAAAAAUGCCCCAAAUCUAAAACAGAUAAACAAAUCCGAAGUAAAUCAUGAGAGGAUUUUCCACAAUUUCAUGUCAAAGACUGCUGAAGUAUUAGUGCUGUUCUACAUUAAUGUUAUUUCAAUAUUUUGAAUUGUCUAGUGCUGUAAGAGCAAGGGUAGACUGAGAUUGCUUUUUUGUCUUUUUUUCCCCCCCUAUUAGUUUGUCUCUAACAUUUUUAAGCUGUGUGAUGCAGAGCAGCUGGGUGCUGCACAGCCAUGUGUGGCUGUGAACAGUGGGGCUGUCCUGCCUGGCAUGGGGCCUCGCCUGCCCCAUGGUGCUGCCAGCCAGAAUGGGCAGCCUGUGGCAUGGGCAGCCCGUGGCCAGCAGUGCCAGUGCCUUUGAGCAGGAAUGGCAGCUGCCAGGGGCCAGAGUCACCAUGCUGUAAGGGUCCUGCUCUUGGAAGGUGAUCCACACCAAAGGAGGGAUCCUUUGAGGGAUGGGGGCUGUGGGCACCUCACACCAGGGUGGGGACCCACCUAAGUGAGCACCACUGAGCUGGAAACAUAAAGACAUGGAGUGGCAAUGGAAAAACAGUAAGAAGGAAAGAGCAGCAGGUGGGACUGUUACCAUGCAGCCCCAGCUGAGCAGUGGUAUGGGCUGGCUGUAACUGGUCUGUUAAGAGCUUCUCAGGAGAAGCUGAGAUUAGAGAGGGGCAGGAGACCUGUUCAUGGGGUGUUUAUGCUUUUCCACUCACCUGCCAGCACUCAGAUGAGCACCAAAAAAUGGCGCUAACUGGCAAUAAAUUAAAGUAGGAAAAAAAAUACCCGCGUUUCUGGGGUGUUCUGCCUGUGGGAGGCCUGUGACUGCCCACCCUGAGAGUGUCCCUUUGGGCCCGCUGGUCCGGUGAAUGGAUCCAAGCUGUGUAAACAUCCAGUGGUGUCAGCCACUAGUGCUUGAUUAGCAGUGUUACAGACUUCAUGAGCCAUUCCGUUUGCUAUGACUGCCUUUGAAAGGGUUUUGCCAGUGUAUGAUUUUUUCACCAGAUAAGUAAAGGACAUGGAAUUUCCUGGAACCAAAGUGCUGUUGGGUUAGUCGUGUUGCCUGCAAUAUGGUUAGGCAGGCGUGAGCCAGCCAACGUCAAAGCAGCAGAUAAACUUGUCAUUUAGGAACAGGCACUAAUGAAGUGUGAGCUGCAACCAUAUGUGGAACAAACAUCUUUAUGGUGUCAGUCGUGACUUUCUUGUUGCUCUUGUUGAGCUGAGCACUGUGAGGCACUGUCUGCUCUGGAGGAGGCACAGGGGGAGAGCCUGGCUGCAUAAGUUGUUACAACAAAACACUGAAAGUCAGGGUUAGUGCUGGAGUUUUGGGCAACAUGGGAUUUCUGUUAGCAUUGCAAGGGAAUGGUCUUAUUUUGUUUCAGCCCUCAGGUACUUACAGCCUCACACAUAAGGAGUUGCCUUGCAUUUCUGUGUCCCUAAAUUUUUAUAACAGUGUGCCUUAACUGACUAUUUACAGUUGUACUGCCUGCCAUGUUGUUAAAUUUUUGAAUACAUUCAUCUACAAUCACUUGUAUCUUUCACAAUACUGACGUUUCUCUUUGGUAUUGUUGUACUCUUUGCAGCUGUGCCACUUUUAAAUGUGUUGGACAAGGGCCUAAUAGUUUUCUGGGGUAGUGGAUGAGAGAAUGUGUAGGUUAAUGUGGGUUAGACCAGACCUGCCCCAGGGAGACUGCAAGGUGAGAUGGUGCUGGCACUUACACCCCCACACCCCUGGUCUGAACAGAAUUUCUUCUUUAUCUUUUCUCAGAUCAGAGUAGUCACAUCAGUUCUUGCUGCUUGCUGAAGAAAGGGAAGACUCCCAUCUGGUCAGGGAAAGAAAAGAGGGUUAAAACUCACUGUCAGCCUAUUGGCUUCUGCCUAUGUUGGCAUCUUGGCUAGGGGGGAUGGAGCCCAAAGGAGUUCCUUUGUGAGCAAGAUAGUACAGAAAUUUAGAUCGUGUGAUAUGGUCACAACUCAUUGUUUUGGAGUCGUGCUUAGGCUUGAGGUACUGUAAGUCUAGCAGAGUGCUGCUUAUUUGUGAGCUACAUGCUCUGAUGAAUUGCUUGAUGAGAAUCUGCAAAUUAUUUUUCUCUUGCUGCAGCUGAUGUUCUAAACUAGCCAGCCUGGGAGACUGGAUCCUCUGGCCAAAUAUUUACCCAGCUUUUUGGAUGCAUUUUUCCAGCAUCUGCUGGGAUUUAUGUUCUGCAUUAAAAUCCUGACUUGGGUUCGAGGUAACUACUUUUAAAAUUAGUUGGCGGCAGUUGUAAAGGGAAAACCUAAUGAUGGUCCACACUCUGUGAAUAUUAAAGUGGUCAGGUCUCAGUUACUGAGUGUGUCCCACCAUGACGUUAAAGCUGAGCAUGGUCAAGGUCUGAGUGAAUGUCAGCCCUAUGUAAGCAACCUGCAUAGGGGCUGCAGGUGUGUGGUGGGUUAGUGAUAGAAUAAAUGGCUUGUGUUGGCAUGAAAGAAAGGCCCUGCUUGCUGCUGCAUUUUAUGUCAGCAGGACAGGGAUGAAAUGCAUGUCAAAUGGUUUAAUCUUACUUUCAGUCUGGAGAUGUGUGUUUUUAUGCUGGGAUAUAAUCUUUUUCAUAUGGCCUUGGGUUCAUGGAAACCUAAAGGUGGCUUUGACUGCCGGAUGGGCCAAGAAACAGCUUGAACUGAGAAAAGAGCAGCAUUUACUCUUUGGUAAUUUUAUCUACUUUGGUUAAUUUUCAUUUUAAUAAAUGUACGCAGACAUGCUGGCAGCUACGGAGUUCCCUUUAGGACAUAUACUAAUUUCAUUUGGAUAAAAAUGGGAGGAAGUAAGAGUUAAUAGGACAUUUGCAUGUGCACUUUACUUAAUUGACUGGCUUUCACUUAAAUAAAACAUGAAUAAGAAAUGCUGUUAUACAAGAUAAGAUUUUUAGGUAUACUUUAUAUCUUCCCAGCAUGUCAGGAGCUCAGGAAUCUUCUGACCUGCACCAUUCUUAUAUUCACCUGACCUUGACUCAAGUGGUAAGUGAGCUAGAGGUACUUGGGUGUUAGUGGCAGGGGCAUGUGAAAAAACUGGAAACAUGAGUCUUUUCUCCAAGAAGUGAUUGUGUUAGGAUUCACAUGCUAAUAGUGAUUCCACUUCAGUUAUGUGUUGAUGUGUGGUGUGUGAACCUUUUUUUCAGAUGAUCCUGAAUUUUAUCCUCAACUGUAGGAGGUACUUGCAGAGAGCAAAAGAAGUCAGCUGGCCAAAUUUUGCUCAGCUUUGCAAUCAGAAGCUUUAGAAAUAGGAUGGCAAUAAAGGGGCUUUUCUAUCAGAGCAUUUCCUCAGUUGAAAGCAAACACUUGUCCUUUCACCCCUAAGGGGAUAAGGGGAAUUGUUAAGGAAAAAGAAAUCAUGAAAAAUUGAAAAACAAGGGCCACAUGGUGUGCAGGGAGUGGACUUAAUUGGUUGCACUGGGAAAUCAUCAAGAUAAGUCCCUUCUUUUGAUUUGACUCACUCCAGAGUGUCUUUCUCAAGUUGUCACUUGCCUGUGUGUGUGGUAGAUUAAAUGGUAUCUGUUUCAUUUUGCUGUAGAGGUAUGUCUGAACAUAGGAAGUAAAGGUUUUGGUUGAUCACAUUCUUUUCUUAGUACAAGGUUCCCAGGGGAUCAUCCAAUAAAGACUGGAAAGUACUACUAUUAGAAAUAAAUGCAGUGCCCUUGAAAUCAAAUAAAGCUCAGAUUUAAUUAUGAAACCCACACAGAUGGAAAACCAAAGCCAAUUAGCAAAUGGUAUCAUUUGCCUCUCUGGGAUUUUUGCUUACAGUCUCCACUUUUAUUAGUACCAAUGAUGUCUGUAGAUCUGGUUGUCAGUAAUGCUACACUAUUUUGCCUUAAGGAAUAAGAUGCUGCGUUCCAUGUGCCUGUUGUGGAGACACAAGUUUUACAAAUCCUGGUGUGGGUUAACCCAGCAGUUAAGCACCCACACAGUUCCUUGUUCACAACUCCUGCAGUGGGGUGGGGGACACAGCAUGAAGAAUAAAGGCAAGAAAAUGCCUAGGUCAAGGUAAAGACAGUUCAAAAGUGAAGAAAGGAGGGUAGAGGGAAAGUGCUGCUCUCGCCGUCUUUCAUGACCAGAUCGAUGUCCAGCCAGACUCUGGGCAAUGGCUAUGCUGGAAGAUGUUCCAUCCCCUACCCCAAGAUUUUUAUCUCUGAGCAUGAAGAUGCACAGUAUGGAAUAUCCCUUCAGCUGGUUUAUGUCAGCUGUCCCACCUCCGUUCCCUCCCAAAUCCUUGCCUACCCCCAGACUGACAAACAAGAAAGCUUUGAUGUUGUGCAAGCGCUGCUCAGCAGUAGCCAAAGCCACUGGGGUGUUAAGUAAUGCUGUUCUAGUCACAAACUCAGAGCACAGCAGGGCAUGGGCCCCUGUGAAGACAGUGAACUUCGUUUCAGCCAGUGGCUGUGCACCACUUGGAUACAGCCUUUCAAAAUGAAGAAGUCCUUUCUUAGUGAGAUGAAUGAGGUGCUGCAGGUCUGAUGACUGAUGAGGAUAUUUCUGGCUAUCUGAAGCAAGGUAAAAUAAGGACAAGUCUGGAAAUGUGUGAAGUACCAAAAUAAGAAUCAAAGUUACGUAAACCUUUACCUAAACUUAGGUUAAAAGUUUCACUGAUUUUUUUUUUUUUGUCUCCCUCAAAUGCUUAAAUUUUGUGGAAAUACCUUACAAAUGGGCUUUAAUCAUGACAAUUGUAUCAUGAUAAUUAAUAGACCUUCUGAUACAUUUCCAAGAAUAAACUCCAAAGAGUUUGAGCACUGAGAAGAGGGAAGAACUCUUUCUCUAUUGCUUAAAAAUUAGAGUUGAGUGGGAGAAAAAAGAAAAAAAGGGGGUGAGAGAGAAGGAAAAAAAAACUUUCUGGUUAAAUCUUAACUUUCUGAAAGCAUAACAAAGUAUCUAAUCAAAUAGAACUGAAAAUCAGGUUGACUAAGGGAUCUAAUAUGAAUUUUCAUCCAAAGGUGGCACUAGCCUUUUGCUCUUGGAAUUUUUGUUGUGAGCUGGGAAAUGCAAAUACCAAGAAGCCCUCAACUAAUCCAACGCUUACCAUUAAUCCCAAACAAACCAUCAUUAGUAUCUGGAUUUAUCCUGCUUAGUCCUUGCUGGAUAGUGAAUUACGUAACCUUUGUUUUAUUAACAUUUAAUGGAAGCUUAUUAUCAGGUAGGUUACCUCUGAAAUAAAAGGAAGGCAAAAAAAGGUAAAUUUUCUGCCUUCUAUUAUUUGGGGUUUUUUGAGGGAUUUUUAAGGAUUUCUUUAAGAAGAGAGUGGCUAUUUCAUGAUAGUUCCAUAAAUAAACUAACUCCAAACUCACUGAGGACAUUGCUUGGCCAAAACAACAGCUAUUAGAAAAAUUACAUAGCUCUCUUCUACUUAACUAGCAGAUAACGUUGAUAACAUAAUUUAGAAGAGGACUACAAAAACUAGUCUUCCCUGUAUGAAAGAAUUUGAUGUGAUGUUCAGGUGCAAAAAUAGAUACUUUAAAGUCUUUCCAACAAAUGUCUAUUGUGUCUUCAUAUAUUGUUGCAGACUAGUUUUAGUAGGUGUGGUAUGAAUAAGAUGACAGAAUUUCCACAGUCACAAAGCUCAUAAUGCUCAAGAUCUUGGCCUACUUAGGGAGAGGAGUUGGUGCUAGAGUUGUAAACAAAAGUCACUAGGUGAGCACUGCAGGGAGGAGGAAGGAUUUUGAGGUUAAAAAAUAUGAAGGCAUCCAGUGCCAUAGGAUGUUAGGAUUUUUACAUGCUCACAAUGCAGUAUUGCAGUGGCUGGUAAGCAAGUGAUUUUGGAGUUGCUGAGAGAGCAGAGUUGCAAAGGAGAGAAAAGUUUUGUAAUCCAUGAUGUAAAUGUGUAUGCUGAGCAGCAGACCUGCAGCAGAUACUCUGAUUUGAGCAUGUCUAAUGUGUGAUGAGAGAAUAUGUUUAAUUCUACUUACCAGAUGUUUGCUUUCAAUUUCUCUCUCAUUUUUCCCAAAUGAUAAUGGUUCAUUAUCAAAUUGUCAACAUUUUCUCAGUAUUGAUAAGACUCCGGAGAUGGGAGUAGUCCCAGCAGUCAGUCUGAAGCAUUAUUUCAUGCCCAGUCUGAGACAGAAGCAGUAAUAGAGGCUCUGUGUUGGUACAGUGCUCUCACCAAAACCAUAGGCUGGACUGUCCUGACUUGAUGUGAAACCUGAGGAAGCUCACUGAUGAUCUUGAGUGCAUUUUCAGCUGAGUCUUUGUGUCCUCCUGAGCUUACACAGCAGUUCAGCUCCUGCUAAAGGCUGAAGAUUUUAGUUGCUGGGACAAACUCCAGAAAGAUGUUUUGCUGUGCAUGUGAGCUGUUGCAUCAAAGUUGUGCCUGCAUUUGAUUGUCACAUCUGAGAUUAUCACUUGAUACACUUUGAUAGUGAUUAAAUGCCUUUCCAGAAGUGAAAGACAAAUUAAAAGGAAAUUUAUUUUUUAAAGCUCCUCUUGAGAAGAUUUCUGUUUGGUUUUUUGUUUGGUUUUUUUUAUUAUUAUUUUGGUGGAUUUUUUUGUUUGCUUGUUUGUUUGUAUGGGGUUUUGUUGUUAUUGUUUUUAAAAUAAAACAAGCUAGUUGUUCCACUCA